rnacentral:rRNA from 1 species
GAAAGGACUGCUAAUACCGAAUGUUGUGGAACUUCCGCAUGAAGCUCCACCAAAGAUGACCUCUUCCUGAAAGUUAUCGCUCAAAGAUGGGUCUGCGUCUGAUUAGCUAGUUGGUGGGGCAACGGCCUACCAAGGCGACGAUCAGUAGCCGGUCUGAGAGGAUGAAUGGCCACAUUGGAACUGAGACACGGUCCAGACUCCUACGGGAGGCAGCAGUGGGGAAUCUUCCGCAAUGGGCGCAAGCCUGACGGAGCAACGCCGCGUGAGUGAAGAAGGUCUUCGGAUCGUAAAGCUCUGUUGUCGGGGACGAAUGUACGAGCUAUCAACAACAGCUUGUAAUGACGGUACCUGACGAGGAAGCCACGGCUAACUACGUGCC